rnacentral:rRNA from 1 species
GACGAACGCUGGCGGCGUGCUUAACACAUGCAAGUCGAACGGAAAGGCCCUGCUUUUGUGGGGUGCUCGAGUAGCGAACGGGUGAGUAACACGUGAGUAACCUGCCCUUGACUUUGGGAUAACUUCAGGAAACUGGGGCUAAUACCGGAUAGGAGCUCCUGCUGCAUGGUGGGGGUUGGAAAGUUUCGGCGGUUGGGGAUGGACUCGCGGCUUAUCAGCUUGUUGGUGGGGUAGUGGCUUACCAAGGCUUUGACGGGUAGCCGGCCUGAGAGGGUGACCGGCCACAUUGGGACUGAGAUACGGCCCAGACUCCUACGGGAGGCAGCAGUGGGGAAUAUUGCACAAUGGGCGGAAGCCUGAUGCAGCAACGCCGCGUGCGGGAUGACGGCCUUCGGGUUGUAAACCGCUUUCGCCUGUGACGAAGCGUGAGUGACGGUAAUGGGUAAAGAAGCACCGGCUAACUACGUGCCAGCAGCCGCGGUGAUACGUAGGGUGCGAGCGUUGUCCGGAUUUAUUGGGCGUAAAGGGCUCGUAGGUGGUUGAUCGCGUCGGAAGUGUAAUCUUGGGGCUUAACCCUGAGCGUGCUUUCGAUACGGGUUGACUUGAGGAAGGUAGGGGAGAAUGGAAUUCCUGGUGAGCGGUGGAAUGCGCAGAUAUCAGGAGGAACACCAGUGGCGAAGGCGGUUCUCUGGGCCUUUCCUGACGCUGAGGAGCGAAAGCGUGGGGAGCGAACAGGCUUAGAUACCCUGGUAGUCCACGCUGUAAACGGUGGGUACUAGGUGUGGGGUCCAUUCCACGGGUUCCGUGCCGUAGCUAACGCUUUAAGUACCCCGCCUGGGGAGUACGGCCGCAAGGCUAAAACUCAAAGGAAUUGACGGGGCCCCGCACAAGCGGCGGAGCAUGCGGAUUAAUUCGAUGCAACGCGUAGAACCUUACCUGGGUUUGACAUGGAUCGGGAGCGCUCAGAGAUGGGUGUGCCUCUUUUGGGGUCGGUUCACAGGAGGUGCAUGGCUGUCGUCAGCUCGUGUCGUGAGAUGUUGGGUUAAGUCCCGCAACGAGCGCAACCCUUGUUCACUGUUGCCAGCACGUUAUGGUGGGGACUCAGUGGAGACCGCCGGGGUCAACUCGGAGGAAGGUGGGGAUGACGUCAAGUCAUCAUGCCCCUUAUGUCCAGGGCUUCACGCAUGCUACAAUGGCUGGUACAGAGAGUGGCGAGCCUGUGAGGGUGAGCGAAUCCCGGAAAGCCGGUCUCAGUUCGGAUUGGGGUCUGCAACUCGACCUCAUGAAGUCGGAGUCGCUAGUAAUCGCAGAUCAGCAACGCUGCGGUGAAUACGUUCCCGGGGCU